rnacentral:rRNA from 1 species
UCGAGCGAAUGGAUUAASAGCUUGCUCYUAUGAAGUUAGCGGCGGACGGGUGAGUAACACGUGGGUAACCUGCCCAUAARACUGGGAUAACUCCGGGAAACCGGGGCUAAUACCGGAUAACAUUUUGAACCGCAUGGUUCGAAAUUGAAAGGCGGCUUCSGCUGUCACUUAUGGAUGGACCCGCGUCSCAUUAGCUAGUUGGUGAGGUAACGGCUCACCAAGGCAACGAUGCGUAGCCSACCUGAGAGGGKGAUCGGCCACACUGGGACUGAGACACSGCCCAGACUCCUACGGGAGGCAGCAGUAGGGAAUCUUCCGCAAUGGACGAAAGUCUGACGGAGCAACGCCGCGUGAGUGAUGAAGGCUUUCSGGUCGUAAAACUCUGUUGUUAGGGAAGAACMAGUGCUAGUUGAAUAAGCUGGCACCUUGACGGUACCUAACCAGAAAGCCACGGCUAACUACGUGCCAGCAGCCGCGGUAAUACGUAGGUGGCAAGCGUUAUCCGGAAUUAUUGGGCGUAAAGCGCGCGCAGGUGGUUUCUUAAGUCUGAUGUGAAAGCCCACGGCUCAACCGUGGAGGGUCAUUGGAAACUGGGAGACUUGAGUGCAGAAGAGGAAAGUGGAAUUUCCAUGUGUAGCGGUGAAUGCGUAGAGAUAUGGAAGAGCACCAGUGGCGAAUGCGACUYUCUGG